UUUUGUAUAAUGGGUCAGCGACUUACUGUUCGUGGCAAGCUUAACCGUAUAGGGGAGGCGAAGGGAAACCGAGUCUGAUAAGGGCGCAUAGUCGCGGGCAGUAGACCCGAAACCGGGUGAUCUAGUCAUGCCCAGGGUGAAGGUGCGGUAACACGCACUGGAGGCCCGAACCCACUCCCGUUGCAAAGGUAGGGGAUGAGGUGUGAUUAGGAGUGAAAA
rnacentral:rRNA from 1 species